UUUCACACUUGUAGAAUUGCAUUACGCACUAUGCAAUUCCAAAGAAAAAUGGAAAAUUCAUAGGUCUUGUUUGGUUGGGGAAGAUGUUUUUGGUUCCUACUUUCUAGUUCUUCUCUAUUUCUUAGUUUCCAAGUUUAUGUUUUUCAAAUGGAAAAUUGGAAAACGAGAAAACAUGUUCAUUUGUCUAAUUUUCUACUUUUCCAUAUUCUUCUUUUUAAGAUCUUCUAUUAGUUUCUUUUAUUACAUAAGAAUUAUUCAUUGAAAAUAACAAUUAUUUGAAAGUGAUAGUACGAAUAGUCUCAGAGCCUAAUUGAUAGAGUGAAGAACAUAUUUAUAAUAAUAGAAAAAGGAAAAGAGCUUGUAAUAUUUAAUAGGCAAAAGCCAUUACAAUCAGUCCAAGCAAAUACAAAAGCUCAAUCCAAUUGAAAGAGAGAAUAAAUGAAAACUAGGAGUAAUCUUCCGAAUCAGCUUAAG
rnacentral:misc_RNA from 1 species